AUACGAAGGGGGCUAGCGUUGUUCGGAAUCACUGGGCGUAAAGCGCGCGUAGGUGGACUAAUUAGUUGAGGGUGAAAUCCCGGGGCUCAACCUCGGAACUGCCUUCAAUACUGUUAGCCUUGAGACCGAGAUAGGUGAGUGGAAUUCCUAGUGUAGAGGUGAAAUUCGUAGAUAUUAGGAGGAACACCAGUGGCGAAGGCGGCUCACUGGCUCGGUACUGACGCUGAGGUGCGAAAGCGUGGGGAGCAAACAGGAUUAGAAACCCUAGUAGUCC
rnacentral:rRNA from 1 species